rnacentral:rRNA from 1 species
UCGAGAAUCUUCGGCAAUGGGCGAAAGCCUGACCGAGCGAUGCUGCGUGCGGGAUGAAGGCCUUCGGGUUGUAAACCGCUGUCAGUUGGGAGGAAGGACUCAUGAAGAGCGAGUUUUGACCUAUCUUCAGAGGAAGUCCGGGCUAAGUUCGUGGCAGCAGCCGCGGUAACACGAUCCGGACAAACGUUAUUCGGAAUUAUUGGGCUUAAAGGGUGCGUAGGCGGCCAUGUAGGUGGGGUGUGAAAUCCCUCGGCUCAACCGAGGAACUGCGCCGCAAACCACAUGGCUAGAGGGAGACAGAGGUAAGCGGAACUGAUGGUGGAGCGGUGAAAUGCGUUGAUAUCAUCAGGAACACCGGUGGCGAAAGCGGCUUACUGGGUCUCUUCUGACGCUGAGGUACGAAAGCUAGGGUAGCGAACGGGAUUAGAUACCCGCGUAGUCC